UACGUAGGGUGCGAGCGUUGUCCGGAAUUACUGGGCGUAAAGAGCUCGUAGGCGGUCUGUCGCGUCUGCUGUGAAAACUCAGGGCUUAACCCUGAGCUUGCAGUGGGUACGGGCAGACUAGAGUGCGGUAGGGGAGACUGGAAUUCCUGGUGUAGCGGUGAAAUGCGCAGAUAUCAGGAGGAACACCGGUGGCGAAGGCGGGUCUCUGGGCCGUAACUGACGCUGGAGGAAGCGAAAGCAUGGGGAGCGAACAGG
rnacentral:rRNA from 1 species